rnacentral:rRNA from 1 species
GACGAACGCUGGCGGCGUGCUUAACACAUGCAAGUCGAGCGGUAAGGCCCUUUCGGGGGUACACGAGCGGCGAACGGGUGAGUAACACGUGGGUGACCUGCCCUCAGCUCUGGGAUAAGGCCUGGGAAACCGGGUCUAAUACCGGAUAUGACUCCAUGACGCAUGUUGUGGGGUGGAAAGCCUUGUGCGGCUGAGGAUGGGCCCGCGGCCUAUCAGCUUGUUGGUGGGGUGANGGCCUACCAAGGCGACGACGGGUAGCCGGCCUGAGAGGGCGACCGGCCACACUGGGACUGAGA